rnacentral:lncRNA from 1 species
UCGGGACUCCACUUUAUCUGUGAAAACGAUCAGGAAAAAAUUAACCAGUGUCUUGAAGAUCUCCAUACCUGGUGUGAAAAAUGGGAUAUGUAAAUUAA